GUCGACCUGUUAUCGCGAAAGGCCGCUGCCUUACUCGACUUCGGGCGAGACAGUAAAAGCUUCACCAUCGUUGCUUCCCCUCGGUUUGACGGAACAGGAAGUCACCCCUCUCCCGGUUUACAGAAACAGGUGAACAAGAAUGGUAGUGGAGGAAUUAAGACAAGGCUUACCUCUUGAAGAAGUGCAAGCAACAGCAAAUCAACUCUCUUUCUCUCUCUCAUUUCUGGUUUCUAGUGUCCAAGGAAAUGAGUGAAGGGAGUUUGUUGGCUGAAAUGGUAAAGGAUAUCGGAGGUGGUGGUUGGCUAAAGAGAUAGGGCUGCCAUAGGGUGGCUGAAAGACCUCCUAGGUGUACCAUUGGCAUGGCUGGUACCGUAUGGAGUGCCCUAGUGCAUAGGCACAUCGUUUCUUUUCUUCCAUUGCUUUCUUUUUCUUCCUUAUUGCUAGCUGAUGAUGUAAUAGUUAGGUUGUAGAAGUAGAAAGUUGUAAAGUCUGAUGUGAUAAAUAAAAUCCUUCUGACUUGGUAAA